rnacentral:rRNA from 1 species
GGACCCGCACAAGCGGUGGAGCAUGUGGUUUAAUUCGAUGAUACGCGAGGAACCUUACCAGGGCUUAAAUGUAGUGGGACAGGUCAUAGAGAUAGACCCUUCUUCGGACUCAUUACAAGGUGCUGCAUGGUUGUCGUCAGCUCGUGCCGUGAGGUGUCAGGUUAAGUCCUAUAACGAGCGCAACCCCUAUCGUUAGUUGCCAGCGGGUAAUGCCGGGAACUCUAGUGCGAAACUGCCGGUGCAAACCGUGAGGAAAGGUGGGGAUGACGUCAAAUCAUCACGGCCCUUACGUCCUGGCUACACACGUGCUACAAUGGUCGGUACAGAGAGCAGCCACUACGCGAGUAGGAGCG